rnacentral:rRNA from 1 species
UACAGAGGGGGCAAGCGUUGUUCGGAAUUACUGGGCGUAAAGGGCGCGUAGGCGGCCCGCUAAGUCGAACGUGAAAUCCCCGAGCUCAACUCGGGAACUGCAUCCGAUACUGGCGGGCUUGAAUCCGGGAGAGGGAUGCGGAAUUCCAGGUGUAGCGGUGAAAUGCGUAGAUAUCUGGAGGAACACCGGUGGCGAAGGCGGCAUCCUGGACCGGCAUUGACGCUGAGGCGCGAAAGCUAGGGGAGCAAACGGG